rnacentral:rRNA from 1 species
UGCGUAGGCGGGCUAAUAAGUCAGUGGUGAAAUCUUCCGGCUCAACCGGGAACCUGCCAUCGAUACUGUUAGUCUUGAGUUCGGUUGAGGUAGGCGGAAUGUGUAAUGUAGCGGUGAAAUGCUUAGAUAUUACACAGAACACCAAUUGCGUAGGCAGCUUACUAGACCGACACUGACGCUGAGGCACGAAAGCGUGGGGAGCGAACAGGAUUAGAUACCCUGGUAGUCC